CAUGCAAGUCGAGGGGCAGCAUCAUUAAAGCUUGCUUUGAUGGAUGGCGACCGGCGCACGGGUGAGUAACACGUAUCCAACCUGCCGACAACACUGGGAUAGCCUUUCGAAAGAAAGAUUAAUACCGGAUGGCAUAGUCUUCCCGCAUGGGAUGACUAUUAAAGAAUUUCGGUUGUCGAUGGGGAUGCGUUCCAUUAGGCAGUUGGCGGGGUAACGGCCCACCAAACCAACGAUGGAUAGGGGUUCUGAGAGGAAGGUCCCCCACAUUGGAACUGAGACACGGUCCAAACUCCUACGGGAGGCAGCAGUGAGGAAUAUUGGUCAAUGGACGAGAGUCUGAACCAGCCAAGUAGCGUGAAGGAUGACUGCCCUAUGGGUUGUAAACUUCUUUUAUACGGGAAUAAAGUGAGCCACGUGUGGCUUUUUGUAUGUACCGUAUGAAUAAGGAUCGGCUAACUCCGUGCCAGCAGCCGCGGUAAUACGGAGGAUCCGAGCGUUAUCCGGAUUUAUUGGGUUUAAAGGGAGCGUAGGCGGGUUGUUAAGUCAGUUGUGAAAGUUUGCGGCUCAACCGUAAAAUUGCAGUUGAUACUGGCGACCUUGAGUGCAACAGAGGUAGGCGGAAUUCGUGGUGUAGCGGUGAAAUGCUUAGAUAUCACGAAGAACUCCGAUUGCGAAGGCAGCUUACUGGAUUGUAACUGACGCUGAUGCUCGAAAGUGUGGGUAUCAAACAGGAUUAGAUACCCUGGUAGUCCACACAGUAAACGAUGAAUACUCGCUGUUGGCGAUAUACGGUCAGCGGCCAAGCGAAAGCAUUAAGUAUUCCACCUGGGGAGUACGCCGGCAACGGUGAAACUCAAAGGAAUUGACGGGGGCCCGCACAAGCGGAGGAACAUGUGGUUUAAUUCGAUGAUACGCGAGGAACCUUACCCGGGCUUAAAUUGCAACUGAAUGAUGUGGA
rnacentral:rRNA from 1 species